rnacentral:lncRNA from 1 species
UGAGAUUCUAUCUCAAAACAAGAAAUAAAAGUAGGUUUAUCUAUCAGUUAGCAUUGUCAAUUUAACACAGCUUAGCCGUCUGAAAAGAGAUUCUUUUUCACUUGAGGGAUUGUCUAGGUUAGAUUGGCCUGUGGAGGAUUGUCUCGAUUGUUAAUGGGUGCAGGAGAGCCUGGCCCACUAUGGGCAGCAACAUUCCCUAGGCAGGUGGUCUGGGUUGUAUAGGAAAACUAAGCACAAACCUGUAUCUUACCAGGGAUUGCUCACUAGCCAGUCUAGCCGACAUAGUGAGUCCUAGAAUCAGUCAGAGACUGUCUCAAAAAAAUACAGCGAAGAGAAAAAGAGUAAAAGAACCAUAUUGACCUGUGGCUCACACACACACACACACACACACACACACACACACACACACACUUAACUAUAGCAUGUUGGUCAAAGGGAUCAGAAAACUAAAUGAAGAGAUAAUCACAGCGGUAAGGAUGUCUUUGAGGUUCUCUAUUGGAACAUAAUCAUUUGGUGGCUUUCUGACUUCACAUUCCAUUCCCUCACAUGCUGUUCUAGUUUCCUUCCUGUUGCUGAGCAAGCAGCAUCGGGGAGGGAAGGGAUUACAUGGCUCACGCUUCAGGUCACAGUCCAUCACUGAGGGAUGUCAGGGAGUAUGGAGCAGAAACCAUGGAAGAAUGCUACUUGCUUUCCUCACUCCUGUGUCCUAGCAUCUAGACCCAACUGUCCUUCCCAUCCAUCCCCAGUCUGUACAGUCCGGCUCAGCACUCUAGUAUCUCUAGGAGUUGCCAGCUGAAGAGAAAAACCACAAAAUGGUUUGCCCUGAAGCCUUUUCUGAUGUGUGGUCAAGAGUGCGCUGCAGCCUUUCUCCGCCCCUACUACCCUCCCCAUCCCCUGAAUAAACUCUAUUCUAUACUAAG